rnacentral:rRNA from 1 species
UACAGAGGUCUCAAGCGUUGUUCGGAUUCAUUGGGCGUAAAGGGUGCGUAGGUGGCGGGGUAAGUCAGGUGUGAAAUCUCGGGGCUCAACCCCGAAACUGCACUUGAUACUGCCUUGCUCGAGUACUGGAGAGGAGAUUGGAAUUUACGGUGUAGCAGUGAAAUGCGUAGAGAUCAUGAGGAAGACCAGUGGCGAAGGCGGGUCUCUGGACAGUUCCUGACACUGAGGCACGAAGGCCAGGGGAGCAAACGGG